CAGCCGCCACGGUAAGACAGAGGAUGCAAGCGUUAUCCGGAAUGAUUGGGCGUAAAGCGUCUGUAGGUGGCUUUUCAAGUCCGCCGUCAAAUCCCAGGGCUCAACCCUGGACAGGCGGUGGAAACUACCAAGCUGGAGUACGGUAGGGGCAGAGGGAAUUUCCGGUGGAGCGGUGAAAUGCGUUGGGAUCGGAAAGAACACCAACGGCGAAAGCACUCUACUGGGCCGACACUGACACUGAGAGACGAAGCUAGGGGAGCAAAUGGGAUUAGAUACCCGGGUAGUCCCUGUCUCUUAUACA
rnacentral:rRNA from 1 species